GAAUAGCUUUGUUUUAUGUAGAUUUGAUGAUCUGUAUGGUUAAUUCCACUGUAUGCAUUUGAACGAUCGUUUGUUUACUCAUCUCCUAGCAACAGAGCAUGAUUAUGUCACGCGCAACAGACGUGGCACGCGUCUGACAAUCGAGGAAGUCACUGGAGAUGUGGUGAUCGCCGGGUGAUGCGGAGAACCUCCAUAGAGCUGAUUCUGAUUGAAGUUUGAUUGCUGGGGGCGGCACUUUGGUUUUUGUGAGCAAUUUCUUAUGUAUAAGAAUGUAUCACAUUGUUGUAUGUAUCACAUUGUAUACUUUAGGACAUUAGCAAUGAUAAAG